UACAGAGGGUGCAAGCGUUAAUCGGAAUUACUGGGCGUAAAGCGUGCGCAGGCGGCGCGUUAAGACAGGUGUGAAAGCCCCCGAGCUUAACUUGGGAAUUGCGCUUGUGACUGGCGUGCUGGAGUGUGGCAGAGGGGAGGUGGAAUUCCACGUGUAGCAGGUGAAAUGCGUAGAGAUGAUGGAGGAACACCGAUGGCGGAAGGCAGCC
rnacentral:rRNA from 1 species